UGCUGGAGUGGCGGAACUGGCAGACGCACAGGACUUAAAAUCCUGCGGGCCUAACAGCCCGUACCGGUUCGAUUCCGGUCUUCAGCACCAA
rnacentral:tRNA from 7 species